rnacentral:lncRNA from 1 species
GACACCUAAAUGCUUCCAAGGGAAGGCAAGAAAUCAGCUCGGGCCAACUGGGAAUGCAAACCGCACUGACCAAGCAGAGUUGGGGAAGUUGCCAGCAAAUGCAGAAAAAAGGAAAGGAAGGAAGAUGUGGAAAGCAUGAGAAGUGUUUUGGAAUAGACAUCAGC